GACGAACGCUGGCGGCGUGCCUAAUACAUGCAAGUAGAACGCUGAAGCUUGGUGCUUGCACCGAGCGGAUGAGUUGCGAACGGGUGAGUAACGCGUAGGUAACCUGCCUGGUCGCGGGGGAUAACUAUUGGAAACGAUAGCUAAUACCGCAUAAGAGUAGAUGUUGCAUGACAUUUGCUUAAAAGGUGCAAUUGCAUCACUACCAGAUGGACCCGCGUUGUAUUAGCUAGUUGGUGAGGUAACGGCUCACCAAGGCAACGAUACAUAGCCGACCUGAGAGGGUGCGCGGCCACACUGGGACGGGAACACGGCCCAGACUCCUACGGGAGGCAGCAGUAGGGAAUCUUCGGCAAUGGACGGAAGUCUGACCGAGCAACGCCGCGUGAGUGAAGAAGGUUUUCGGGUCGUAAAGCUCUGUUGUAAGAGAAGAACGAGUGUGAGAGUGGAAAGUUCACACUGUGACGGUAUCUUACCAGAAAGGGACGGCUAACUACGUG
rnacentral:rRNA from 1 species